rnacentral:rRNA from 1 species
CACGUAGGGCGCAAGCGUUGUCCGGAUUUAUUGGGCGUAAAGAGCUCGUAGGCGGUUUGGUAAGUCGGAUGUGAAAUCUCCAGGCUCAACCUGGAGGGGUCAUUCGAUACUGCCAUGACUAGAGUUCGGUAGGGGAGUGUGGAAUUCCUGGUGGAGCGGUGAAAUGCGCAGAGAUCAGGAGGAACACCCGUAGCGAAGGCGGCACUCUGGGCCGAUACUGACGCUGAGGAGCGAAAGCGUGGGGAGCGAACAGG